GACGAACGCUGGCGGCGUGCCUAAUACAUGCAAGUUGAGCGCUGAAGGUUGGUACUUGUACCAACUGGAUGAGCAGCGAACGGGUGAGUAACGCGUGGGGAAUCUGCCUUUGAGCGGGGGACAACAUUUGGAAACGAAUGCUAAUACCGCAUAAAAACUUUAAACACAAGUUUUAAGUUUGAAAGAUGCAAUUACAUCACUCAAAGAUGAUCCCGCGUUGUAUUAGCUAGUUGGUGAGGUAAAGGCUCACCAAGGCGAUGUUACAUAGCAGAACUGAGAGGGUGAUCGGCCACAUUGGGACUGAGACACGCCCCAAACUCCUACGGGAGGCAGCAGUAGGGAAUCUUCGGCAAUGGACGAAAGUCUGACCGAGCAACGCCGCGUGAGUGAAGAAGGUUUUCGGAUCGUAAAACUCUGUUGGUAGAGAAGAACGUUGGUGAGAGUGGAAAGCUCAUCAAGUGACGGUAACUACCCAGAAAGGGACGGCUAACUACGUG
rnacentral:rRNA from 1 species